rnacentral:rRNA from 1 species
AUGCUGCGGCCUCCUCAUCCGCCGCCGUCCCCUCCACCGAACGCGGCGCCGCACUUCGUCUCUCCUGAGACGAGCGCAGUACUCCGCCAUGCGCAGAUCGCCUUGGGUGAGGGCGCGAAACUCGGCGGAGAGAUGGACCGCUUGAGCGGGCUGGUUCGCGAGGAAGAACUCCCGGAGCUUGUCCCAGGCGACGAAGGCGGUGUUCGCCUCGCCGCGGAUGACCUCGUAGGGACCGUCGGUGAUGGUGGAGUAGAGCAGCAGGAGGAGGCGUCAUGUAUAACCAACGUGGCCCCGUGGAUGACGACCGUCGGCGCCGCCACCACGGACCGGGUGUUCCCGGCGACACCCCGGCUCGGCAACGGGGUGGUGCUCACCGGGCAGUCCCUCUACAACAUCCCGUUCUCCCAGGGCGCGGGCAUGAUCCCGCUAGUGCGCAGCGACUGCGACGAGGAUGACCUGACGCCCGACAGGGUAAUGGGCAAGGUCGUGGUGUGCUCCCAGGGUGGAGUAGCUUCGGCUGACGUGCAGAGAGCGGGCGGAGCCGGGAUAGUUUCCACCGAUAGUGGGGAACAGUUCUUGGACACGGUAAUGGCCGAACCCUUCAACCUUCCCGGUCUCCAGCUCAGCUCCACCGGCGGCAAGAAGCUGGCCGAUUACAUGUCGUCCGUGGCGUACCCGGUGGCGUCCUUCAACUUCACCUGCAACACGGUCACCGGCGAGAACCGGGCGCCGAUGGUGGCGGGCUUCUCCUCGCGGGGACCCAAUCCGAUUACCCCCGAGAUUCUGAAGCCGGACGUCAUCGCGCCGGGAUUGAACGUCCUCGCGGCCUGGUCAGGUGCCGCCUCGCCAUCUAACCCGCGGAGGUUCGAGUACAACAUCCUGUCGGGGACGUCGAUGGCGUGCCCGCACGUGGCCGGCGUGGCGGCCCUGAUCAAGAAGCGGCACGGCGACUGGACGCCGGCCAUGAUCCGUUCGGCGCUGGUAACGACCGCCGGCCCGCUUGACAUGAACGGCAGGGAAAUCGUGGACAGCGGCAGUGCCGUCGGCGCCGCCGUCAUGGGCGCGACGCCGCUGGCGGCCGGGGCCGGGCUCGUGCUCCCGCGGCUCGCCAUGGGCCCAGGCAUGGUGUACGACGCCGGCACGCAGGACUACGUCGACUUCCUCUGCACCCUCAACUACACGGUGGAGCAGAUGCAGCAGUUCGUGCCGGAGCUAAGCAAGUGCGAGAGGACGAUCCCCGGCGGCGUGGCCAACCUGAACCACCCGUCGUUCGUGGUGGUGUUCGACGGCCGCACCCGCGUCCGCACGCUGAUGCGGACGGUGACCUUGGUGUCGGCGCGCCCCGAGAGGUACAACGUGACGGUCGCCGCGCCCGACGGGGUGAAGGUGACCGUGACCCCGGCGACGCUGGAGUUCAGGUGGCCGAAGGAGAAGAGGAGCUACAGCGUGCAGUUCAGCAGCGAGGCGGGGGCGAAGGUGAGGACGGCCGGCACGUGGGAGUUCGGCCACAUCGCCUGGGAGAACAGGAAGCAUCGGGUCAGGAGCCCCGUCGCCUUCAAGUGGGACAACUGA